rnacentral:SRP_RNA from 12 species
AUCCGUGAGGUUGGUCAGCGCCGCAGUGUAGCGGCUACCGCCAAGUCGAAUCUGUGCAUGGAUUGCGGUUGGAGC